AGUCUUUGUGGAUGGCUGUUU
rnacentral:miRNA from 1 species